rnacentral:rRNA from 1 species
UACGUAGGUGGCAAGCGUUGUCCGGAAUUAUUGGGCGUAAAGCGCGCGCAGGCGGUCCCUUAAGUCUGAUGUGAAAGCCCACGGCUCAACCGUGGAGGGUCAUUGGAAACUGGGGGACUUGAGUACAGAAGAGGAAAGCGGAAUUCCACGUGUAGCGGUGAAAUGCGUAGAUAUCAGGAAGAACACCUAUGGCGAAGGCAGCUCUCUGGGACGGUACUGACGCUGAGACGCGAAAGCGUGGGGAGCGAACAGG